GGUGAACCAGCGGAGGGAUCAU
rnacentral:rRNA from 1 species